rnacentral:rRNA from 1 species
CAAGUCGAGCGGUAGCACAGAGAGCUUGCUCUCGGGUGACGAGCGGCGGACGGGUGAGUAAUGUCUGGGAAACUGCCUGAUGGAGGGGGAUAACUACUGGAAACGGUAGCUAAUACCGCAUAACGUCGCAAGACCAAAGUGGGGGACCUUCGGGCCUCAUGCCAUCAGAUGUGCCCAGAUGGGAUUAGCUAGUAGGUGGGGUAAUGGCUCACCUAGGCGACGAUCCCUAGCUGGUCUGAGAGGAUGACCAGCCACACUGGAACUGAGACACGGUCCAGACUCCUACGGGAGGCAGCAGUGGGGAAUAUUGCACAAUGGGCGCAAGCCUGAUGCAGCCAUGCCGCGUGUGUGAAGAAGGCCUUCGGGUUGUAAAGCACUUUCAGCGGGGAGGAAGGCGAUAAGGUUAAUAACCUUGUCGAUUGACGUUACCCGCAGAAGAAGCACCGGCUAACUCCGUGCCAGCAGCCGCGGUAAUACGGAGGGUGCAAGCGUUAAUCGGAAUUACUGGGCGUAAAGCGCACGCAGGCGGUCUGUCAAGUCGGAUGUGAAAUCCCCGGGCUNAACCUGGGAACUGCAUUCGAAACUGGCAGGCUAGAGUCUUGUAGAGGGGGGUAGAAUUCCAGGUGUAGCGGUGAAAUGCGUAGAGAUCUGGAGGAAUACCGGUGGCGAAGGCGGCCCCCUGGACAAAGACUGACGCUCAGGUGCGAAAGCGUGGGGAGCAAACAGGAUUAGAUACCCUGGUAGUCCACGCCGUAAACGAUGUCGAUUUGGAGGUUGUGCCCUUGAGGCGUGGCUUCCGGAGCUAACGCGUUAAAUCGACCGCCUGGGGAGUACGGCCGCAAGGUUAAAACUCAAAUGAAUUGACGGGGGCCCGCACAAGCGGUGGAGCAUGUGGUUUAAUUCGAUGCAACGCGAAGAACCUUACCUGGUCUUGACAUCCACAGAACUUUCCAGAGAUGGAUUGGUGCCUUCGGGAACUGUGAGACAGGUGCUGCAUGGCUGUCGUCAGCUCGUGUUGUGAAAUGUUGGGUUAAGUCCCGCAACGAGCGCAACCCUUAUCCUUUGUUGCCAGCGGUCCGGCCGGGAACUCAAAGGAGACUGCCAGUGAUAAACUGGAGGAAGGUGGGGAUGACGUCAAGUCAUCAUGGCCCUUACGACCAGGGCUACACACGUGCUACAAUGGCAUAUACAAAGAGAAGCGACCUCGCGAGAGCAAGCGGACCUCAUAAAGUAUGUCGUAGUCCGGAUUGGAGUCUGCAACUCGACUCCAUGAAGUCGGAAUCGCUAGUAAUCGUAGAUCAGAAUGCUACGGUGAAUACGUUCCCGGGCCUUGUACACACCGCCCGUCACACCAUGGGAGUGGGUUGCAAAAGAAGUAGGUAGCUUAACCUUCGGGAGGGCGCUUACCACUUUGUGAUUCAUGACUGGGGUGAAGUCGUAACAAGGUAACCGUAGGGGAACCUGCGGUUGGAUCACCU